ensembl:snRNA U6 U6 spliceosomal RNA
GUGCUCACUUCGGCAGCACAUAUACUAAAAUUGGAACGAUACAGAGAUUAGCAUGGCCCCUGUGCAAGGAUGACACACAAAUUCGUGAAGCGUUCCAUAUUUUU